UACGGGGGGGGCAAGUGUUGUUCGGAAUUACUGGGCGUAAAGGGCGCGUAGGCGGCCUGCUAAGUCGGACGUGAAAUCCCUCGGCUCAACCGGGGAACUGCGUCCGAUACUGGUGGGCUCGAAUCCGGGAGAGGGAUGUGGAAUUCCAGGUGUAGCGGUGAAAUGCGUAGAUAUCUGGAGGAACACCGGUGGCGAAGGCGGCAUCCUGGACCGGUAUUGACGCUGAUGCGCGAAAGCCAGGGGAGCAAACGGG
rnacentral:rRNA from 1 species